UCAAAUUUCAGAUAUCUAUCGAACCCUAUUUACAGUUUUCAGAUCAAACGCUAUCAACCACCAGAUCUCAUCCAAUUCGCUUAUGUCGACGAUUUUUCGUCCCUAAACUACGGAGAUGAAGUGCUUCCUUUCUCGAGAUGUGGAGGCGCGAGAAGGAGGAGAACAAUGCGGUUUUCUCCUUCUUCCUCUGAAAAAAAAACGCCGACGAGCUCGACGUUAUUGCCGAUGCUGCUGCUCCUCCGUAUUCUGACACUGCGUAGGCGCGACGGUUUCUAAGACUGUUAGAGCGAUGGCGCCGCAGGGGAAAAUUCGGGUGGAUGAGUUUUGAAUUCAGAGGAUGAGAAGUCUGAUUACGACUGGUGAGUAAACUAUUGUCAAGUUUAAGUCUUUGAUUUUAUGCUUAUUUUUGGUGGGAUUAAAUUUUCUUAAGACUAAUCGAAGUUUUAAGUCUCUGGUUAUGAUAACUUGUUGAAUUAAUGAAGAAAAUUGUUGGGUUGCUAAAUUGGGUGGGAUUAAUUUAUCAUUGGACUAAUGAAUCGUGAUGAAAUUAAUUCUGGGGCAUUGAUUUAAACAAAUUGCAUAAUGGGAGUUUAGUGUUCCUGCAUGAUUAUGUUUGAAUUAUAAGAGUAAAAGAACAAACUCGAGAGUCUGCAUGUGGUGUAUGUUUCUUUAUGUUUUGUUAUACUGCCACAUUGAAUUCCAGGAUCAGGGUUCUUUAUACUGCCACAUUGAAUUCCAAGAUCAUGUUGCAGAGAAAGGUUUUGGUUGGAAGAGUUGUGCUAUAAGGUAUUGCUAUCUUUCUUGUUUGUACUGUAGUAAAUGAUAUUUCUAUCAUAGCGUACAGGACGAGUUGACUACCUAAGUGUUAUCUGGAGAAGCAGGAUUAAAGUUGAUUCCUUUGCUGGAUGUUGAAUAAGAGUUGGUAUGUACUGUAUCUAAUGCUAAAUGAAGUUAAAAUGUUCCUUGACUCUUUGGUCCUUAUAAUUUCAGGUGCUACUAGAGAUUGCUUACCAGUUACAACUAUGCUAAAUCAAUUGAAGAGUGGGGUUCACUCUGCAAUACACACUGAAGGUUCACGGUCCUUCAACCGAGAACUGAAAAUUUUGAUUGCAAGGUUUGGUGAACCGUUGUCUUGACCUUAACAUAGUAUGGUAAAUUACUGUAAUGUAAGCCCCGUGAAAAACUUUCCUCUCUCCUCUCUCGCUCUCCCUCACACACACAUAGAGGAAGACAUGCCCAUUGAUCUUCAUAUGCUUGAUACUUAUACUUAUACAUGAUUACUUGCCUUUUGUCUAAUUGACUUUGUGAAUUUGAAUUGUUUUGUAUAUGAUGUCCUUAAGUGAUGAUUUUUUAUUUCUAAGCUUUAUAUUUUUCCUUGUUUAUCUCAUAGGUGGUUGGUGGUUCUAAUUCAUGAGGGUUUAUAACUCAAAUAUCAACUAAUACAUUUACGGAUUUCUGCAAAUUUGAAGUGUGGUUGGCUUGCUGGAGAUGUGUCUUCUUGAAGAAAUGAUUGCAGAGAAGAUGAAUAUCAUUGGAGGACCAAGGUUGGAACUAGGACUUGAGUUUGUUUUAGAGUGAAACAAAGUCUACAUGUUUUGGUACACAACUGUAGCAUAACUCGGUGAUUUGGUAUUCUUAAUAGAACUACUCAUUUUGUUGUUAACUUUUAGUGUAAUAUUUGAAUAUGUGAAUUUUUAUAAAUUAAAUAUGCAAUUUUGUACAUAAA